GAUUCCCACUCCGAUUGAGUUCUUAAAUCAAUUCUUUCAGAUGCCCAUUUCUUUUCUUGUACUUGUUAAUUUUAUCAUAAUCGAUACGAAUUUUCUGAGAAAAGAAAUUAAAUGAUGUUUCUUCAUUGAUUAUGUAAAGGAUGGGAUUUUAUUGGAUUUGGAUUUCAGAACUGGGUUUCUUUAAAAGUCGGUAUCUUUUUGUUUCGUGGCUUGCGUAUGCACCAAUCGAAAUUGCCAAGUGUUUGCCUCCGCGCCGUAUCUGCCUACUCCUGGUGGUCCCUGGAUACCAAUAACCAGUAUCGAGAGUUAUAUAUAUAUAU
rnacentral:misc_RNA from 1 species